rnacentral:misc_RNA from 1 species
AGAGAGAGAGAGAGAGAGAGAGAGAAGCGGAUGGGUCUGCUUUCUAAUAGGAUCGUCAAGGAGAGCCUGAAGCCAGGGGAUCAUAUAUACUCGUGGAGGACUGCAUAUAUAUAUGCGCAUCACGGAAUCUAUAUUGGGGAUGAUAAAGUAAUUCAUUUUACCAGACGCGGUCAAGAAGUAGGAACAGGAACAGUGCUUGAUCUCCUCUUGACUAGCUCAGGACCAGCGAACACUCAAGUGCCUUGCCCCACUUGCACUAUGCAGCGAGAGGGACACGGGGUUAUCCUCUCAUGCUUGAAUUGCUUCCUUGCUGGAGGUGUCUUGUAUCGCUUUGAGUAUGAUGUCAGCCCUGCUUUAUUUCUUGCAAAAGCACGUGGUGGAACUUGUACUCUUGCAGUUUCAGACCCAAAUGAUAUUGUGGUACACCGGGCAAAAUUCCUGCUUGAGAAUGGCUUUGGGUGUUAUAAUGUGUUUAAGAACAAUUGUGAAGAUUUUGCUAUUUAUUGCAAAACCGGACUCCUUGUUGUAGAUCAAGGAACAAUGGGACAGAGUGGCCAAGCAGCAUCCAUUGUCGGGGGCCCUCUUGCAGCUGUUCUAUCUACACCAUUGCGUCUUGUCACCACCAAUGUCUAUGGGAUGGCUGCAACAGCUGUUGGAGUUUACUGUGUUAGCAGAUAUGCUGCUGAUAUUGGCAAGAGGAGGGAUGUGCUGAAGGUCUCAGUGGAGGAUCUGACAAGGAGGCUGGCCACAGGCUCACUCCAGGUGGUCGAAAAUCAAAUUUUAGCUAGACCAAUCUAAGAGAAUCGAUUGUUUGACAUCAAAUAAAUAUUUGAAGCUUCUCUUUAUUCUAUUUAUCUAGUGAAUAAUU